UACGAAGGGUGCUAGCGUUAUUCGAAAUUACUGGGCGUAAAGCGCGCGUAGGUGGUUCAGUAAGUUGGAAGUGAAAUCCCCGGGCUCAACCUGGGAACUGCUUUCAAAACUGCUGAGCUAGAGUACGGUAGAGGGUGGUGGAAUUUCCUGUGUAGCGGUGAAAUGCGUAGAUAUAGGAAGGAACACCAGUGGCGAAGGCGACCACCUGGACUGAUACUGACACUGAGGUGCGAAAGCGUGGGGAGCAAACAGG
rnacentral:rRNA from 1 species